GCCGUGAGGUAGCAUUCACUAGAUUUCAAGGAAAUGAAAUCCACUUCACCAGUGUGGAAUGGGGAUUGUACAAAUCAAUUAAAAUAGGUAAGGAGAGCAGCAUAGUGAGGUCUGCUGCGUUCAGAUGUUAAGACUGCAUGUCCCUCAAGAUGUUAGUGUUUCGCCAGUGUUUACAUUAGUCUAAGCCGUGUCACACUGUGUUUAUACUUCAAAGAAAAGAGACUUCAACACUGAGCCAGGUUAUUCCUAUGAGUAAUUCCCAUCCGUCUUCCCUUUUUGGAGGAUUUAUGUCCUUGCCCAGGGAGGAAAUGUCUUCAGGAAUGUUUUAUGUGUUUUCUAGACAUCGCAGGGUGUGUCACUUACAAAUAAGUCAUUCCCAGGCAGAGUAAUUCAGGAAUUAUUUCCCUUCUAGGAAAUGCUUGUGACUGUGAAAAGGCUGUGAGGUUCUGUGCCAAGUGUGAAGAGCAUGUCCCUACAGAGGUUUAUCGUAACAAUAACAUAUCAACAUAACAAUAAGAAAUCCUAAAAGUAAUUAUAACUCAAAGACUGAAAAUCUUGCACAGGUACUUAAGGCUUUGCCUGACUCUGUUCAGGUAGGUUGGUGGUGUUUCACCACGGAUGCAGUUCUGCCUUUGAAGACUGACUGUGUUUGGUAGGUCAGCUAGAAAUGCAUUCUCAUUAUGUCUCCUUCUGUUAUUCACAGCCUCUGACUUUUCAAUAGUAAGGUUCUUUUUUCCCUCAGCAAAACUUCUUGUUUUUAACAGUUCUUUUUCUCCUCACACUACUUUUGUCCAAGAGGCAGAGAUUGAGAACAUAUGACCAAGAGUCUUCAGAGGGAACGUUUCUCGUAAGCAGGGUAAAUCGGAUGGAGCUGGAUGAAAACCUAUUUUUCCGCAUCUACAACUUCACAUGCGAAGUUUAAUUCAAGAGCAAACCUCUCCUUUGUUUGCCUCAUUUUAAACUUAAGUGAAUUCUGAUGUUUGUUUCCUAUUCAAUUUUUCUAAAUUCGCAUAUUGCAAAGGAAAAAUGUCCUUUAAUAAAAAAUUUAUAUUUGAAGCAGAAAAUUA